rnacentral:tRNA from 1 species
GCUAGUGUAGCUUAAUUUAAAGUAUAGCACUGAAGAUGCUAAGAUUGAAAAGUGAAAAUUUCCACAAGCA